GAUGAACGCUGGCGGCGUGCCUAGUACAUGCAAGUCGAGCGAACGGACGAGAAGCUUGCUUUUCUGAUGUUAGCGGCGGACGGGUGAGUAACACGUGGAUAACCUACCUAUAAGACUGGGAUAACUUCGGGAAACCGGAGCUAAUACCGGAUAAUAUUUUGAACCGCAUGGUUCAAAAGUGAAAGACGGUCUUGCUGUCACUUAUAGAUGGAUCCGCGCUGCAUUAGCUAGUUGGUAAGGUAACGGCUUACCAAGGCAACGAUGCAUAGCCGACCUGAGAGGGUGAUCGGCCACACUGGAACUGAGACACGGUCCAGACUCCUACGGGAGGCAGCAGUAGGGAAUCUUCCGCAAUGGGCGAAAGCCUGACGGAGCAACGCCGCGUGAGUGAUGAAGGUCUUCAGAUCGUAAAACUCUGUUAUUAGGGAAGAACAUAUGUGUAAGUAACUGUGCACAUCUUGACGGUACCUAAUCAGAAAGCCACGGCUAACUACGUG
rnacentral:rRNA from 1 species